GGGGAAUUCAUGUAUCUGGCUAUUUGAGACUUGCAGAUCUUGCUCGAGAACUACAAGCAGGAAAUUGCAGAAGUUUUUUGUUGGAAGCGUGAAUCAGGAAACAUCUAAACUUUUCAAUGUUACCCUUCUUUGCUUCCGAGUUAGUUAUUGCUUUGAUUUAGUCAUAGAAGAAAUGAACGUAAAAGACAAUUAUUCUAAACAUUUGUGCUCACAGACAGAGAUGGUAUGCUGAAUCUGAAAAAAAGGAGAAUGUAAUAGAAGCAACUCUUGAACAAUAUAUAUGAGUUAAAUGCUAGAGAUUUAAACCUUCUUAGCUGUAAUAAACAGAAAGAAAUUACAAUACAAACAAGAAAGCUUGCAUUUAUGGUGUGAUUUACCUGCAAUGUGAAAGCUACACUGGCUUGCACUGCAGGUUUUUGCUAUGAAGAAGAUUAUUGCCGUUGUCUUGCAGUAAAUAGUCCACUAAAAAGGAAUAUUAGAGCGACUAAUGCACGUAUGCAAUGCCCUAUUGGCAAGCAUACUUCUUCUCUAAGGCCAAAACAAAGAACUUUCAAAAUCCAUAUCCCAAGGCUUUCCCAU
rnacentral:lncRNA from 1 species